rnacentral:rRNA from 1 species
GAGACAACAGGGAUUGCCCUAGUAACGGCGAGUGAAGCGGCAACAGCUCAAAUUUGAAAUCUGGCCCCCGCGGUCCGAGUUGUAAUUUGUAGAGGAUGCUUUUGGUGCGGUGCCUUCCGAGUUCCCUGGAACGGGACGCCGGAGAGGGUGAGAGCCCCGUACGGUUGGACACCUAUCCUCUAUAUAGCUCCUUCGACGAGUCGAGUAGUUUGGGAAUGCUGCUCUAAAUGGGAGGUAAAUUUCUUCUAAAGCUAAAUACCGGCCAGAGACCGAUAGCGCACAAGUAGAGUGAUCGAAAGAUGAAAAGCACUUUGAAAAGAGGGUUAAAUAGCACGUGAAAUUGUUGAAAGGGAAGCGUUUGCGACCAGACUUUUUCCAGGCGGAUCAUCCGGUGUUCUCACCGGUGCACUUCGCCUGGUUUAGGCCAGCAUCGGUUCUCUUAGGGGGACAAAGGCGGGGGGAACGUAGCUCCUUCGGGAGUGUUAUAGCCCCCCGCGUAAUACCCUUCGGGGGACCGAGGAACGCGCUCUGCAAGGAUGCUGGCGUAAUGGUCGUCAACGACCCGUCUUGAAACACGGACCAAGGAGUCGAACAUUUGUGCGAGUGUUUGGGUGUUAAACCCUCACGCGUAAUGAAAGUGAACGGAGGUGAGAGCCCUAACGGGUGCAUCAUCGACCGAUCCUGAUGUCUUCGGAUGGAUUUGAGUAAGAGCAUAACUGUUCGGACCCGAAAGAUGGUGAACUAUGCGUGGAUAGGGUGAAGCCAGAGGAAACUCUGGUGGAGGCUCGCAGCGGUUCUGACGUGCAAAUCGAUCGUCAAAUCUGCGCAUGGGGGCGAAAGACUUAUCGAACCAUCUAGUAGCUGGUUACCGCCGAAGUCCCCCUCCACGGGUAAAA